AUACUUAAUCUUUUUGCACUUUAUUUAAUAAAUUCACUUAAUAAUGGAGUGCAAGUGUUACAUUUAAAAUGACAUGGUGCAUGUUUCAAGCAUAAUGGAGAAUAAAAAAUAUUUACAUUUGUUGUUUCAAAGGUAUGCUAAUAAAGGAGGUCAAUGGGAAUGUGUACGCAGGCUACUUUGGCAUUGGAUAAAUUUAAAUGAAUUUAUUGGGCAAGUGUAGCAACUGUAACUGUAACAUUUUUAGGAGAGCAAAGACAUGCUUAGAAUAUUUAAAUUUAAUUUCUAGUGAUUUCUCAAAUAAAAGGAUAUUUGAGAUGUAG
rnacentral:misc_RNA from 1 species